UGUGCUAAUACCGGAUAAGUCUUUACAGAGAAAGCUUUAUGCACCAUUGGAUGAGCCUGCACUUGAUUAGUUUGUUGGUGGGGUAAUGGCCUACCAAGACUGUGAUCAAUAGCUGAUUUGAGAGGAUGAUCAGCCACAUUGGGACUGAGACACGGCCCAAACUCCUACGGGAGGCAGCAGUGGGGAAUCUUGCACAAUGGAGGAAACUCUGAUGCAGCGAUGCCGCGUGAGUGAAGAAGGCCUUUGGGUUGUAAAGCUCUUUCGUCGGGGAAGAAAAUGACUGUACCCGAAUAAGAAGGUCCGGCUAACUUCGUGCCAGCAGCCGCGGUAAUACGAAGGGACCUAGCGUAGUUCGGAAUUACUGGGCUUAAAGAGUUCGUAGGUGGUUGAAAAAGUUGGUGGUGAAAUCCCAGAGCUUAACUCUGGAACUGCCAUCAAAACUUUUCAGCUAGAGUAUGAUAGAGGAAAGUAGAAUUUCUAGUGUAGAGGUGAAAUUCGUAGAUAUUAGAAAGAAUACCAAUUGCGAAGGCAGCUUUCUGGAUCAUUACUGACACUGAGGAACGAAAGCAUGGGUAGCGAAGAGGAUUAGAUACCCUCGUAGUCCAUGCCGUAAACGAUGUGUGUUAGACGUUGGAAAUUUAUUUUCAGUGUCGCAGCGAAAGCGAUAAACACACCGCCUGGGGAGUACGACCGCAAGGUUAAAACUCAAAUGAAUUGACGGGGACCCGCACAAGUAGUGGAGCAUGUGGUUUAAUUCGAAGAUACGCGCAGAACCUUACCAACACUUGACAUGUUCGUCGCGACUCUAAGAGAUUAGAGUUUUCGGUUCGGCCG
rnacentral:rRNA from 1 species